CUCGGUCGAGGGAAAUGUGGCGUUCAGGAGUGAGCGUGCCGGGAGGGAGAAGGCGGCAAGUCCCCCUGACCGGGGCCUGUCCGUAGCGGGUGCGAGACCCAUAGCCGCCUCUUCCCGACCGGAUGCGAUCUCCUUGGAGUCGGGUUGCUUGGGAGUGCAGCCCCAAUCGGGUGGUAAACUCCACCUAAGGCUAAAUACCGCCGUGAGACCGAUAGCAAACAAGUACCGUGAGGGAAAGUUGCAAAGAACUUUGAAGAGAGAGUUCAAGAGUACGUGAAACUGCUCAGAGGUAAACGGGUGGGCCCUCGAAAUCCUGUGGCGAGAGGAUUCAGUGCGGAGACGAAGUCUCGCUCCCCGGGUGCGGUGUCCCCGUCGCGGGGACCCCCCGAGCGGAGUCGCUCGGACUCGGACCGUACGCAUUUGACUCUCGCCCCGAGGACGCUGCAGCCGGUUCGGCAGUGCAAACGUGACGGCCUGAAGGGUCGGAGAUGGCAGGUGGCCGGUGGUCGGAGUCCUUCCUUCUGCCGGUUGUUAGCCGUCCGACCAGUGGCUCGUCGCCGGACCGUGGUCGUGGGGCGCCUCCACGGCGCCCUCUCGUCUCCUCCUCUUAAAGGCAUGGCGGGACGGAUCGCGGCAAGGGUUCCUGAGCCGGAGUGUCGCAGUGCCCUGUUACUGGGCUCGCUCGGCUCGGAGCCCCGUUCGCCGCGGCGGGGCCCGCUGGGGACCGGAGGCUCGCAGCGAGUAGGUCGGUCACCCACCCGACCCGUCUUGAAACACGGACCAAGGAGUCUAACAUGUGCGCGAGUCAGUGGGUCUUGAACAGGCCCACGGGCGCAAUGAAAGCGAAGACGUCGCCCGGUGCGCGUCGAGUCGGGAUCCCUCCUCGUCUGUGGGGGGGGCGCACCGACGACCCGCCCCGUCCGGUUCGCCGGUGGGGCGGAGUUUGAGCGUACACGUUGGGACCCGAAAGAUGGUGAACUAUGCCCGGACAGGACGACGUCAGAGGAAA
rnacentral:rRNA from 1 species